rnacentral:rRNA from 1 species
UGUAGCAAGGUUAACCGUAUAGGGGAGCCGCAGGGAAACCGAGUCUUAACUGGGCGUUAAGUUGCAGGGUAUAGACCCGAAACCCGGUGAUCUAGCCAUGGGCAGGUUGAAGGUUGGGUAACACUAACUGGAGGACCGAACCGACUAAUGUUGAAAAAUUAGCGGAUGACUUGUGGCUGGGGGUGAAAGGCCAAUCAAACCGGGAGAUAGCUGGUUCUCCCCGAAAGCUAUUUAGGUAGCGCCUCGUGAACUCAUCUUCGGGGGUAGAGCACUGUUUCGGCUAGGGGGUCAUCCCGACUUACCAACCCGAUGCAAACUACGAAUACCGAAGAAUGUUAUCACGGGAGACACACGGCGGGUGCUAACGUCCGUCGUGAAGAGGGAAACAACCCAGACCGCCAGCUAAGGUCCCAAAGUCAUGGUUAAGUGGGAAACGAUGUGGGAAGGCACAGACAGCCAGGAUGUUGGCUUAGAAGCAGCCAUCAUUUAAAGAAAGCGUAAUAGCUCACUGGUCGAGUCGGCCUGCGCGGAAGAUGUAACGGGGCUAAACCAUGCACCGAAGCUGCGGCAGCGACACUAUGUGUUGUUGGGUAGGGGAGCGUUCUGUAAGCCUGCGAAGGUGACCUGUGAGGGUUGCUGGAGGUAUCAGAAGUGCGAAUGCUGACAUAAGUAACGAUAAAGCGGGUGAAAAGCCCGCUCGCCGGAAGACCAAGGGUUCCUGUCCAACGUUAAUCGGGGCAGGGUGAGUCGACCCCUAAGGCGAGGCCGAAAGGCGUAGUCGAUGGGAAACAGGUUAAUAUUCCUGUACUUGGUGUUACUGCGAAGGGGGGACGGAGAAGGCUAUGUUAGCCGGGCGACGGUUGUCCCGGUUUAAGCAUGUAGGCUGAUUGUCCAGGCAAAUCCGGAUAAUCAAGGCUGAGGUGUGAUGACGAGGCACUACGGUGCUGAAGUAACAAAUGCCCUGCUUCCAGGAAAAGCCUCUAAGCAUCAGGUAACAUUAAAUCGUACCCCAAACCGACACAGGUGGUCAGGUAGAGAAUACCAAGGCGCUUGAGAGAACUCGGGUGAAGGAACUAGGCAAAAUGGUGCCGUAACUUCGGGAGAAGGCACGCUGGUGUGUAGGUGAAGCCCCUGCGGGUGGAGCUGAGACCAGUCGAAGAUACCAGCUGGCUGCAACUGUUUAUUAAAAACACAGCACUGUGCAAACACGAAAGUGGACGUAUACGGUGUGACGCCUGCCCGGUGCCGGAAGGUUAAUUGAUGGGGUUAUCCGUAAGGAGAAGCUCUUGAUCGAAGCCCCGGUAAACGGCGGCCGUAACUAUAACGGUCCUAAGGUAGCGAAAUUCCUUGUCGGGUAAGUUCCGACCUGCACGAAUGGCGUAAUGA